rnacentral:rRNA from 1 species
GUCUAUUGCCAUGACACUCUGAACAAGCCUGAUCCCGUCUGGUCUCGGAAGCUAAGCAAGGUCAAGCCUGGUUAGUACUUGGAUGGGAGAUCACCUAAGAAGACCAGGUGCUGUAGGCG